GAGAUACUGUAGUUUGCUAAAAAAAAAAGACAAGCUUCGGAUAUUACACUCCGUGUUUCUUCACACCGUGACUCGACCCCGAAACCUUCUUUUUAGCAGCUGAACAAACCCUAGGGAUAGCUGCACUGAUUCGAUUCUCUUCACCCGGUUCAACUCGGGAAUAUUUUCGUGGGAAACUAAUGCAAAGAUGAGUUCCUUCUCUAUUACGCGCAAAAAGACACCUUUCCAGAAGCAUAG
rnacentral:misc_RNA from 1 species